GGAUGAUACAGUAUAUACAGUAAAGUACUGUAAGAAAAAUAAGCAAACCAAUGACAAUAUGUGGUUGUAUUUCUCUAGAAUGACUCGAAGACCUUCUGGGGGAGGACGCCAACGCCUGUUCACACAACGGCAGGAACUUGCCGUUGUGGACCUAGUGAGGGCAGACAAUGCUAUCCGUCUCCACCAGCUACGAAAGCAAAUACUUGCAGACAGGCAAGUGUUCAACAACAUAAACCAUGUGAGCAUCACCACCAUCAGACGCAUCUUGGGAAAACACAGCAUCACCAUGAAGCAACUCUACAGAGUACCAUUUGAGAGGAACAGUGACAGGGUCAAAGGACUUCGAGCUGAAUAUGUACCAUAUCAGUACCACAAGAAUACAUUCUGAGAGCUACACAGGUACCCGUGUGAUGGGGUGAGGGUUCUGUAUGUGUAGCACUGUAGUACAGUAAUAUGUUCUCUCUUUUUUUUUUUUUCUUUUUUUUUUACAGAGAAUCUUGGCCAUGGAUGGAGCUGCACAGCCUCAUGAAUUCAUUUUCAUUGAUGAAUCUGGAUUCGACCUGUGCAAAACAAGACGACGGGGUCGUAAUGUAAUUGGCCAAAGGGCAAUUGUGCACGUUCCAGGGCAGCGCGGGGGAAAUAUCACAUUGUGUGCCGCCAUAAGCCUUCGACGGCUUCUGCAUCAUCAUGCAAAACUAGGUCCAUACAAUAGCCAACAUAUACUCACAUUUCUAGAUCUCCAUGAUAUAGUUGUACAGAAUAGACCAGAUCAGCCCAGGUUUGUGGUGAUAUGGGAUAAUGUCAGUUUCCAUCGGGCUGCUCUGGUCCAGGCCUGGUUCUCCAACCACAGUCAACUUGAAGUGGUAUGCUUGCCCCCUUACUCACCAUUUUUAAACCCUAUAGAGGAAUUUUUUUCGGCUUGGAGAUGGCGUGUAUAUGACCGCCAACUACAUGCCUGCAUGCCUCUUCUGCAGGCAAUGGAACAGGCCUGCGGCGACAUUCAGGUGACAGCAAUCCAUGGAUGGUUUUGACAUGGAAGAGGAUAUUUUCCCCGGUGCCUAGCGGGAGAAGACAUUGCUUGCGAUGUUGAUGAGGUCCUGUGGCCAGACCCCAACAGACGGCGGGAUCCAUGAGCCCACGUAUGCACAAUUGUCAUGAUUUUUUGUUUACAGUAUAGUGUUUUUUCUAUUACUGUAUUAUGGGUUGUUUUUUUUUUUUGUUUUUUUUUUUCUUUAUCUGAAUUCAUGGUACUGCAAUGUACAAUAUUGAGUAGGCCUAUUUGCUUUUUUGGUUGUUUGCAAAUGUGUCUCCUGAAAAUAUGCCUUCUGAAUGAACAAUGGAAAUCAAAGACUGCAGUGCUUUAUAUAAAGUAGACUAGUGUGUUCCCCCUGCUCUGUAGGUGUUUGCAUAUGAUGCAAGUAUGUGUCAUUUUGUCAACAGAGUUACAUUUUGACAAAGGAAUGUUAGGUUUUGAUAGCAGAGUUUAGGUUUUGAGAGUAGAGUUUCAAUUUGGUGCAGAUGUGAAUGGUAUAUUUCCCAGUGUUGUGUCAUGUUUACUUGUGUUUAGGGUUUUGGCACAAUGAGCAAAGUUUUGCAAAAUGUGUUCAGGCAACGGGCAAAAACUGUAAUAUUGGUUUAUGUAUUUUUAUUUUUUUGCACUAAGUAAUCCCAAAAUACAAGAAUUUGUAUACACACCAUCCACUGAUACUAUACAAUAGUAAUGCUAA
ensembl:lncRNA